rnacentral:rRNA from 1 species
GACGAACGCUGGCGGCGUGCCUAAUACAUGCAAGUCGAACGCUGGAGGGAGGAGCUUGCUCUUCUUGGGUGGGUUGCGAACGGGUGAGUAACGCGUAGGUAACCUUCCUGGUAGCGGGGGAUAACUAUUGGAAACGAUAGCUCAUACCGCAUAAAAUGGAGUAUCGCAUGAUUAUUCAUUUACAGAUGCAACUGCAUCACUACCAGUUGGACCUGCGAUUUGUUAGCUAAUUGGUGGAGUAACGGCUCAUCAAGGCGACGAUACAUAACCGACCUGAGAGGGUGAGCGGCCACACUGGGACUGGGACACGGCCCCGACCCAUACGGGAGGGAGCAGGAGGGGAUCUGAGGCAAGGGAAGGAAGCCUGACCGAGAAACGCCGCGGGAGGGAAGAAGGGUGUCGGAUUGUAAAGCUCAGUUUUAAGUGAAGCAGGAGGGUGAGAGUGGAAAGUUCACAGUGUGACGGUACCUUACCAGAAAGGGACGGCUAACUACGUG